rnacentral:rRNA from 1 species
UUGCUAGUAAUCGCGGAUCAGCAUGCCGCGGUGAAUACGUUCCCGGGCCUUGUACACACCGCCCGUCACACCAUGGGAGCCGGUAAUACCCGAAGUCAGUAGUCUAACCGCAAGGGGGCGCUGCCGAAGGUAGGAUUGGCGACUGGGGUGAAGUCGUAACAAGGUAUC